AGUUAUGUACUCAACUGUCUUCGCCUCAGUUGUGUCAACCGCCUGGGGCACAAUACGCGACAUUUCAAACACAUAUUGUCAAUUAUGUGGUGGUGUUCAACCUCAUUGCCGUUUUGAGGAGAGCUACGGAUACUGAUUUCAUCCGGAAUGUAUCGACAGUAAGCAGAAGCGUCCUCCAAGAUGAGCCAGGACCACAAAGCAUCCACGGACUCCUCAACUGAACACCGAUACAAAAUAGUUAUUAAAAUGAAAUAUAUUAAUUUUCUCAAAUUUUUGCAAUUCGCAGACACGAUUCCAAAGUUCAUGUUUCGUUUUUAUAAUUGAUAUUUUAUAAUUUCUGACGUUUUCAAUACUUUAUUGAAUUGUUGAAGUGUACAACACGAGAUAAAGCAGUAAAAUGUAAUUAAUUUAUCGAUACAGCAAUAGAUCAACACAUCCCUAACACAAACCGUCAGCAUCUCUUUGAUACAAAACCCCGUAGGUAAUCCUUUUCGGCUACCGUUUUAUCACUCUUUUCAUUUCAUUGAUAAUAUUAUACGAAAAUAUACUUUAAAGUUUACCCAUUAGAUAUAUUUUAGUAUGAUAUAAUAAUUGGCCACAUCAUUUGUACGGAUGGAGUCAUUUAAUUCAGGAUUUAUUAGGCUUUUCAAUUCGGCUGAGUUAUUAUGGAUUUGAGUUUUUGUUUAAUUCGUCUCGUCACACCGUAUUUGUUACGACAAAAUUACGAUUAAAUAAAGCAGUUGCAAACUUU